UCCGGUGUAGCUCAAUGGCAGAGCGGGUGGCUGUUAACCACUAGGCUGUAGGUUCGAGUCCUACCACCGGAG
rnacentral:tRNA from 1 species